AUUGAAACACUAGUUCCCAUACAAUCACCACAGUUAAGCAAUGUCAAGCUUGGUCAGUAACUAGGAUGGGUGACCAUUUGAGAAUACCAGGCGCUGUUAG